CUGACAGGUGCGCGGCCCGGGCCGGCUGGGCUCUCAGAGCCGAGAGGUGGGGCCCCGACCUGGCCGUGGGGCUGGGCCCGCUCCGUCGCCCCGACCCCGCGUGGUCCGCCAACUCCCUCCUGCGCGCGGAGAGGACGGGCAUUGUUCUCGGGGCCCCGGAGAGCGCGAGAGCGGCCUGAGCCUGGAGGCCAUCCUGCCUGAGAUUCUACCCUUAGAGCUUCAUUCUUUUGUGACUUUCACACCUUUCAGAAACUUGGAGAAAGAUCUGCCCCCAGGUGAGGUUUGGGUAACUCCUCCACUCCCAUCCCCACCUCAGAGGAGGCUUGCUCCACCUCCACUGCCCCUCAGGCCCAAGCUCCUGUCUGGGUCCUCAGCCUCUGUGGAGUUGAGGUCUGUAGCAUAUCUCAAGGGCACUGGGGAGGUGCCGCUGCCCUGCAUCCUCCCAAACCCCACAGCUCCUCUCACCCCUUUUGGUCUCCCUUUUGCCCCCCACCUCCA
ensembl:lncRNA novel transcript, antisense to CLK3